AAAAUAGAAGAGGUUUAUGGGAUUUAGCAUCAAAUGAUUACUCCAAUAAAGAUGUUAAGCGGCAGUUGUGGCUUGAAGUGGUCGAUAUAUUUGGCGGUGAAUCCAUGGAAGAUAAAGAAAAGGCAGAACUUGGCAUUACUCUCCAAAAAAGAUGGAAAAACCUUAGAGACUGUUUCACAAGAGAGCUGCGCCGUCUUAAAGAUGUCAAAAGUGGUUCUGCUGCAAAACGUAAAUCACAAUACACCUAUUUCAACCAAUUACUGUUUUUGAAAUCAGUGCUGGACACAAACGCAACAGAAAAUAGUCUCGAAGAGGCAAGUCAAGAAAAUGAAAGUGCAAGAUCUUCUGAUCUUGAGACUCAACAGUCUGCAUCAAAGUCGCUUAGAACAAAAA